GCAGUCGUGGCCGAGUGGUUAAGGCGUCAGACUCGAAAUCUGAUGGGGUCUCCCCGCGCAGGUUCGAAUCCUGCCGGCUGCG
rnacentral:tRNA from 1 species